rnacentral:rRNA from 1 species
UACGGGGGGUGCAAGCGUUAUCCGGAUUCACUGGGUUUAAAGGGUGCGUAGGUGGGCAGGUAAGUCAGUGGUGAAAUCUCCGGGCUUAACUCGGAAACUGCCAUUGAUACUAUCUGUCUUGAAUACCGUGGAGGUUAGCGGAAUAUGUCAUGUAGCGGUGAAAUGCUUAGAUAUGACAUAGAACACCAAUUGCGAAGGCAGCUGGCUACACGAAUAUUGACACUGAUGCACGAAAGCGUGGGGAUCAAACAGG